rnacentral:lncRNA from 1 species
GUUAGACUCUGAUGUAGAAAUCUCAUUAGGCAAUGAUUUGUCUGAAUCAAAGCUCUGAGGCAUAUCAGAAGAAUCAAAAUUCAAUCUGCUUCUUACAUGAUCCCUCUUACUUGCCUUGUCUGAAUUCAUUUUAACAGGUGAAAUACAAUGACUACUCUCUAUAUAAGCCAUUUGUUUUGCAGGGCUAACCAUAACUCUCUUGGUUGAAAUUACAGUGUAACAAGUAGAUGUACCCUCUACGUUGCUAGGUGCAGCCUGAGAAAUCUCAGGAGGGGAUAUAUUUGUAUUGCUGUGACUGGAAUUUGUUCUCGGAGGCGUCUUUGGAACUUUUGAAUUGGUUGGGAUAGAAGUUCGAGCCGGAUUGAAUAAGCAUUUCACAACACUGGAUCCUUGAACCUGUGUUCCACUUGGUACACAGUUCACAGCCGAUGAUUGAGUUGCAGAAGAAGGGUGAUAAACUACUUGAUGAUUGACUACUUUGUUUGAUUUUGGCAGUGUGUCUUGACCUGAGAGAAUUUUCUUGCUGGUAGUGGAUGAUCUACCACGAGGUCUUUUUGCAAUUGAAGGUACAUGCUCC